UGCCGCGUGUGUGAAGAAGGCCUUUUGGUUGUAAAGCACUUUAAGCUAGGAGGAGGCUACUUGGAUUAAUACUCUAGGAUAGUGGACGUUACUCGCAAAAUAACCACCGGCUAACUCUGUGCCACCACCCGCGGUAAUACAAAGGGUGCGAGCGUUAAUCGAAUUUACUGGGCGUAAAGCGUGCGUAGGCGGCUUUUUAAUUCGGAUGUGAAAUCCCUGAGCUUAACUUAGGAAUUGCAUUCGAUACUGGGAAGCUAGAGUAUGGGAGAGGAUGGUAGAAUUCCAGGUGUAGCGGUGAAAUGCGUAAAGAUCUGGAGGAAUACCGAUGGCGAAGGCAGCCAUCUGGCCUAAUACUGACGCUGAGGUACGAAAGCAUGGGGAGCAAACAGGAUUAGAUACCCUGGUAGUCCAUGCCGUAAACGAUGUCUACUAGCCGUUGGGGCCUUUGAGGCUUUAGUGGCGCAGCUAACGCGAUAAGUAGACCGCCUGGGGAGUACGGUCGCAAGACUAAAACUCAAAUGAAUUGACGGGGGCCCGCACAAGCGGUGGAGCAUGUGGUUUAAUUCGAUGCAACGCGAAGAACCUUACCUGGUCUUGACAUAGUAAGAACUUUCCAGAGAUGGAUUGGUGCCUUCGGA
rnacentral:rRNA from 1 species